rnacentral:rRNA from 1 species
CUCAAAUUUGAAAUCUGGCUCUCGGGCCCGAGUUGUAAUUUGUAGAGGAUACUUUUGAUGCGGUGCCUUCCGAGUUCCCUGGAACGGGACGCCAUAGAGGGUGAGAGCCCCGUCUGGUUGGAUGCCAAAUCUCUGUAAAGUUCCUUCAACGAGUCGAGUAGUUUGGGAAUGCUGCUCUAAAUGGGAGGUAUAUGUCUUCUAAAGCUAAAUACCGGCCAGAGACCGAUAGCGCACAAGUAGAGUGAUCGAAAGAUGAAAAGCACUUUGAAAAGAGAGUUAAAAAGUACGUGAAAUUGUUGAAAGGGAAGCGUUUAUGACCAGACUUGGGCUUGGUUAAUCAUCUGGGGUUCUCCCCAGUGCACUUUUCCAGUCCAGGCCAGCAUCAGUUUUCCCCGGGGGAUAAAGGCGGCGGGAAUGUGGCUCUCUUCGGGGAGUGUUAUAGCCCACCGUGUAAUACCCUGGGGGGGACUGAGGUUCGCGCAUCUGCAAGGAUGCUGGCGUAAUGGUCAUCAACGACCCGUCUUGAAACACGGACCAAGGAGUCGUCUUCGUAUGCGAGUGU